CAGCUGAAGGUGCCUGUGGUCCCCCCUAUGCUAAGCUGUACUGAGGGAGAACAACAGUGGCACAAGCCCAGAACGUUGGGUAUAAAACCAGGACCCGUGGAUAAGAUGGCUGUUUUAUCUGCGAAACCAAAGUGUGGAGGAACAAGAGAGGGUGUAAGGAGCACACUCUACAAAGGCCUCAGUGGAGAUUUACCUGAUCUCUCUGUC